rnacentral:piRNA from 2 species
UCCAAAGUUAGUGCUCUUUGCUGAACACCA